rnacentral:misc_RNA from 1 species
GAAAUGCGAUACGUAGUGUGAAUUGCAGAAUUCAGUGAACCAUCGAAUCUUUGAACGCACAUUGCGCCCGCCGGCAUUCCGGCGGGCACGCCCGUCCGAGCGUCAUUUACACCACUCGGGAGGCUGCCCCUGGGCGACCACCCGGCGUUGGCGGACCGCAGGCACCCCUAUCGGGGGCGCCGGCGGCCGCCCAAAGCCAGCGGCGGCAGCGUCCGCGGCGUCCCCUGCGCAGUACACCAACUCGCACCGGAACCGCGCGCAGGCCGGCCCCAGACCAAACCAUACCUUGUGUUGACCUCGGAUCGGGCGGGGUUACCCGCUGAACUUAA